GGUAAUAAACAAAAUAUUAAAUAUUAUAAAAGUAAAAUAUUCAAAAAUUUUCCACGAGUAUCUUACUGCUGCUUCUACAACUAGCCAGUUCAGAGACCUGGGUACUUCCGAGUCCACCACCAAAAAUUAUUUAUUUUUUAUGGUACACUUUUGUUGCUAUCAGAAUGUACGUUUGUCGAUAUGAUAUUUAAAUGCAGUAAAGGUUUCACCUUAAGCAGAUUUUUAGUCACAAUAUACAUGGCCAAGUUACUCGAGGAAGGAAAGCUAGUUGAAUCUUCCCGGCUGAUUGCUUCGAGCUGGGGCUGUCUGUAGAACCACUGACCCUGGAGAGGUUCAGCCCAGCAUGGCGUCUCGAGAGUUAAUAAUAUUCCAACACUGCGUAGGUAGAAAAUUUGAUUCAGAGAAGUUAUAAUGACUGAAGUCAUGCUAACAGGUCGUUACUGAUUAAUAAAUCAAUGAUUGCCACUAUAAACCCGUGCCCGAAGGUGGAAAUCAUUGAAAAGUUAGCGAAAAACCAAUUUUUCAAUCAGUGAUAUUGAGUCACUAAAAUAUAUGGUAGGAAUUCACGAUCCAGUUUCAAAAAUUUGUAGCAAAAUUCUAAUACUUUCUACCAUUUUACUAUUUAAAAUUAAAAAUGCAAAUGAAAAUAAUGCUUAAUUUUUUCAAAACAACUAUUUUUAAAUAGUUAUUCCUGACAGCCGUAGUUCCCCAAUAACAAAAUUAAACUUCAACUUAAAUAUCAUACAUACAAACAGCAGCUAAUGUACAGUAACUUAGUCAUUUUCAGGAAAGGUGUCACGUAAGCUAUUCCACAGAAAUUAUUUACAAAAUUUUACUAUUGCUCCUGUAACUUUACAAUACAUAUUUUAGCCACUUGUAUAUUAAAAUUUAUGAUUACAGUACAACCAUAUAUUGACGGGAAACAGUUACCAACAAAAAUUUUCUUAAAAAUUUAAAGGAAAAAUCCAAAUCUUAAGUUAUGGACACCACGAACAGGAAACAUUCAUGAACGCAAUAUUUUAAUGUGAGGUUUCUAAGAAAUAGAUAUGGGUUCCUCAUUUGCGUAGAUAUUAUUUUUUUUUUUAGUGUGCCUAACCUUUAUUCUCUCCGUGUGUUUACGGCGAGCUCGCUAAUUGUCUACGGUCAGAGGGCGCUGCGCCAACGGCCAAACUGAAAAUUAGUGGAGAUUGGAAAGACGUAAAAACCCCGCGGACCCAGGGUGAAGUGAAUAUUUCAGUGGGAAGUUGUAAUAAUUCUCACGGUCGGCGUGAGAGGCGCACCUCCCACGAGCCGACACUUCCGCGAGGUGGUUCCUCGCGGGCCCUGCAGGUAGCAGCACCGGCGCGGAACCCGCCGAGGAAAAACAGAAACGAAGCGUUUUUAUUACCGCCCGAGCGGCGGACAUUUUAAUUACCGCAAGCCCCUCCGCGGCGCCGGCCAUUACGGUCGCUUCGCGGCUCAUUUAAUUCCAUUAUCGUGGCUUAUGUUUUCACCCCGACUGCCGGAAGUUCUGUGCCGGAAAUCAUUGCGUAAUCAGGCGGAAAUGUGCCGCAAAAAAAAAUUACAUUCUGAACCUGAGUUAAUGACUUUGUUCAGCGGAACGAUUUGUAAGCCGCUUAUUCACUGGGACUAAGAGGCUCGUACCGUGAAAUGCAGUGUGCGCCGUUUAAUUAGCAGUAGCUGGUAACUCAAUGUUAACUGCGGAGAAUUUUUUUAUUGUGUAUGGAAAUGUCAGGAGAGCGAAGUGGUUGAUAGCCACGGUAUUCCAGCGUAAGGAAGUGCCGGCUGGUUGAACGCGACUCGCCUCGCAGGACUCCAGCAGCUGACGGCGACCGCUCUGGGAGUGCUUCCCCGGAGCUGCCCCGCCCACGAUCCCCGAGUCGUAAACUGCUACAAACCACCGAGCCACUCCACUGCCACUCCACUGCCACUCCACUGCCGCGCCAGAGGCCAGGGAGGCGGUCCCUGCCGGCGCGGAACGGGUUUGGCACGAGUCCGCACGCCGGACCGCGCACUCACCGCUCUGCCCUGAAGUCACCCACACAGCCACGCACGAUGCAUGGCCCCGCAUUCAUUGCGCAUUCGUUGCGUGCUUUCAUAUCUGAUAUGACCUCGCUGUCGGAGAGCUAUUAAACUGAGCAAAUAAUAAAUUUCCUCGGCUUAAUGCCCCAA